rnacentral:tRNA from 2 species
UUCCUCGAUAGCUCAGUCGGUAGAGCACGCGGCUGUUAACCGCGCUGUCGUAGGUUCGAGUCCUACUCGGGGAGU